rnacentral:lncRNA from 1 species
UAACUUUUAUAGGAUAAAUAAAAAAAAUCUACUUCUAUUUUUUAAAAUAAUUAAAAUAUAUUAUCAAAUGUUCUGAACUCUCACUUUUGAUAACCUUGUGCUUCAUAUUAUUGAUAGCGUGUAGUUUAAAAAAAAUAGAGAUUACAAAUUUCACUUACUAAAUGUUAGUAAAUUGGUGGGUGAAGCAGACACGCAGUUAAAAUGAAAUUGUAAGAAAAUAAAAAACAAGCACAAUAGAGGACACCAUAAAUUAUGUGGUUCGGCUUUUAGCCUACAUUCACAUGCGAAAAUAAAAGGAAAUAUUUUACUAGUGAAAAUGAGUUACAAGUACUGUAGUAUUAUAGCUCAUUUCCCAAAAUUUCAAUACACUCAAACUCUCAGAACACUAAUCACUCAAGAGUUUAUUAAACUCUUAAUACUCUCAACUCUAAAAGAAGACAAUGCUUCUCUCUUAAUGGAAUU